rnacentral:rRNA from 1 species
AUUGAACGCUGGCGGCAUGCCUUACACAUGCAAGUCGAACGGCAGCACGGGUGCUUGCACCUGGUGGCGAGUGGCGAACGGGUGAGUAAUACAUCGGAACAUGUCCUGUAGUGGGGGAUAGCCCGGCGAAAGCCGGAUUAAUACCGCAUACGAUCUACGGAUGACAGCGGGGGACCUUCGGGCCUCGCGCUAUAGGGUUGGCCGAUGGCUGAUUAGCUAGUUGGUGGGGUAAAGGCCUACCAAGGCGACGAUCAGUAGCUGGUCUGAGAGGACGACCAGCCACACUGGGACUGAGACACGGCCCAGACUCCUACGGGAGGCAGCAGUGGGGAAUUUUGGACAAUGGGCGAAAGCCUGAUCCAGCAAUGCCGCGUGUGUGAAGAAGGCCUUCGGGUUGUAAAGCACUUUUGUCCGGAAAGAAAUCCUUGGCCCUAAUACGGUCCGGGGAUGACGGUACCGGAAGAAUAAGCACCGGCUAACUACGUG